CCCGCCAUGAGAAGUGGGAACAGGUAAGGCCGGUCAGCAGGGCUCUGGUGAUGUUGUGCUGGCCAAUCCCCUGUACAAUAGAUUACAGAAACAUUGAUGAACUACAACUACAGCUUCGACUUUGGACGAUGGAGACAGGAGGUCAUCAGUGGGAUGUGCUCCACCGAGGGCUAAGGGCCCAAGAAGAAAUACCUAUAUUUAUAAGAAGAACUACAGGAGUCUCAAGGCCACACUACGAAGUUCGGGUACAUUUAUCCCCUUUGGUUCAAGAGGCCGAUGGUUGAGGGGAGAUAGACAAGCGUCUAUAGAAGUGAGGCAAAGUGGCAUCAACUUCACGGACCCUAUACAGAUUACAGGAGAUGUUUGCCAUGCUGAGGCAAUUAGGGUGGAUAAAUCCCCAGGGCCUGACAAGGUGCUCCAAAUAUUGAUGAGACCCUAGCAUACAUUUAAAACAUCAAGCAACAGGUGAGCACUGCACAGACCACUGUUUAACAAAGGCUCUCAAAAUAAACCAGGAAAUGAUAGGCUGGUGUGCCUGACAUCAGUUAUUGAAAGGAAUUCUGAGGGAUCAGAUAUACCAGAAUUUGGAUAGGCAAGUAGAUCAUGUCUACCCAAUCUUACAUUUUUUUUCAAGGAAGUUACCAGGAAUGUUGAUGAAGGCAAGGCAGUAGACAUUUGACGAGGUUGGCAACCGGAUCAUGAAAUUUGUGGAUGAUACCAAGAUUGGGGGUAUAGUGUACAACAAGGAAGGCUAUCAUGGCUUGCAGCGGGAUCUGGACCAGCUGGAAAAAUGGAUUGAAGAUGGCAGGUGGAAUUUGAUGCAGACAAGUACAAGGUAUUGCAUUUCAGUAGGACCAACCAGGUCUGUAUUUCGUUGAAAGUGGUGUCACAAAGAAAGCUUUUGGUACAAUGACCUUCAAAAAUCAAAAUAGUGCAAGAGAUGGGAUGUUAUGUUGAAGUUAUACAAGAUAUUGGUAAAGCCUAAUUUGAAUUAUUGUGUUCAGUUUUGCUCACCUACCCACACGAAAGAUGUAAAUAAGUACAGAGAAAAGUUACAAGGAUGUUGGCUGGGUCUACAAGACCUGAGUUAUAAGGAAAGAUUGAAUAGAUUGGGAGUUUAAUCAUUGGUGCACUGAACAUUGAGAUUUAAUAGAGGUACACAACAUUAUGACGGGUAUAGAUAAAAUGCAAGGAGGGUUCCGCCCCCCCCCCCAAGAGGUUCAGUGGGACAACCACCAGAGGUCAAGGGUAAAAGACAAAGUUUAAAGGGAACAUGAGGGCAAACAUCUUCACUCCGAGGGUUAUGAGAGUGUGGACUAAGUCUCCAGCACAAGUGGUGCAUGUGAGAUCGAUUUCAAUGUUUAGAAGUAUUGAUAGGCACGUGGAUAUAGGGGAUAUGGAAGGCUAUGGUCAUGGUGCAGAUCAAUGGGAGUAGGCAACUUAAAUGGUUCAGCACAGACUAGCUGGAGCGAACAUGUUUCUGUGCUGUACUUUCCUAUGACUACUUUCUUUCCAUUGAUCACUGAGACCAAAAGAAAAAAUUAGUAAAAAGUAAGAUGAGAAGCCGUGAAGUGGAAGUAUACAGCAAGAUGCAAGCUAGACUUUGGUGUACAUUGUCUGGAAAGCCAGUAUUACAUGUACUACUUAUCCUUGAAAUAGGUAGUGAGCUAUCGUCUAAGAGGUGAGAUUAGGUACUUCACACGAGUUUCAUGAUGCCUAAUCAGCCACAACGAAAUGCUGGCAAUAUAUGGUAAGAUUUGUGCAAAAGAGACAAGUGACACCUGACCAAUAUACUCAUGGGCAGGCUUUCUAGAGCCAUUGCAGAGAUUGGCGAGGGGUAAGAGAAAGUGAUAAAACAGAGGACGGAGCAGUUGGUGGAAAGUUGGAUGCAAUGUGUAGAGACUAAGAGGAAGGAUAGGCAGCAGAUAGAUUAUUCAUGCAGUUGGAUAGGUUUAAUGUGAGAAGUAUCAGAAACAGAGGUGAUGAACUUCUGAGCAUGGAUUUGUACACAGAACUUGUCACAGGUUACAAAGUCAUCCUAAUGAAGGGUCUCAGCCUGAAAAGUUUGCUAUAUUCUUCUCCGUAGAUGCUGCCUGACCCAUUGAGUUUCUCCACUAUUUUGUGUGCUACAACGGGAUAAGUUGCAGAGCUGGGUUGAGAAGUAGCAUAGAAGUCAAUUGGAAAAGCACAAAAUGAUAUAGUUUGAAAGGUCAAACUUUUAACGCUGAGAACAGGAUUAACAGCAAGAUUCUCCUGCCCCUCAAUGUAGAGUAACAGAAGGAUGUUGAGGUUCACAUCCACAGAUCCUUUAAAAUUGCUUUAAGAAGGCACGUGGUGUUGUAGCCUUCUUUAGUCGGGGGUUUAAGAUCUAGAGCUGCAAGAUAAUGUUGCAACUCUAUCAAACUCUGGUUAUACCACACUUAGGAGUGUCAUGUUCUGUUCCAGUCGCCUCAUAAAAAGGAUAUGGAAUCUUUAUAGGGUGGCAAAGGAGAUUUACCUGGUUUAGAGAAUGUCUUGUGAGGAAAGGUUGAGUGAGCUUGGGCUUCUCUUUAGAGAGAAGAUAGAUGAGAGGUCACUUGAUAGUCUAUGAUGGUAAGAGGCAUAGAUAGAGUUAAGUAUAUGGGGGAUGUCAAAGAUAAACAUUUUUUUCCACAAUGCAUCAAAUGUGCUGCCAGGUGGUGGUAAAGGCACAUCUAUUAGAGGCAUCCAAGAUUUGUUAAUAGGCACAUGAAUGAAAAAAAAUGGUGGGUUAUGUGGGAGGGAAGCAUUAGAUUGAUCUUACACUAGAUUAAAUGUUCUGUACUAUUUUAUUAUGUUCUAUAUUUCAAAACUAGGAUAAUGUGAGACAUUGCUGAUGGUGAACUGCUUGUACAUGCUAUUGCCUGCCUUGAAGCCUGAGUUUGGGAAAUUCUGUUUUAACAACCCAUGUAAAGUAGAUAUCUCAAACCCAAGACAAACUUCAUGCUAACAAUGUGAGAUUCUGUGGAUAUUCCAUAUGUGGAUAGCUUCCCUGUAGCAGCCAUGAUCAAGACCUGAUUGGUGCAAAUAAAACUUGCUAUUAUCAGCUCAGAACAAAAGAUUACCAAGAACUUGAUUCGUGAGGGGUAAACUCCAGUAUCUGUGAAUGUUCAAGGUGGCAAAUUUUGUAACACUCAAUUAAUGCAUCCUUUCAGAUGUUAUACCAAAUCUUCAAAGAGAAAACUUAGAAUUUAGGCAAACAAAGGUGAUUUUAAAAAAGUAGGUAGUUUUAUCCCAAAUCACAUGAAACUCAUCAACUGCUGAAGUUACAUCUAAUAGAGACUAUACAACUACACACUGGUGCCUGAGGAAAUGUGAGCCAUUCACUACUGAACAUGUACUGGAAGCUGCUACAUGUAUGACAUGGAGUCUCAAGACUCUCAAGCACUAUUAAGAAUUUCACAAUGGCAUUCCAUUUCAGAGUGCACUCCAAAAUCAGCAGGUAAUGUAGCGAUCCUGAUAAUUAUGACUAGGGGUGACUGCAGUACUAAUUGUUCAUAGUGAAAUUAUGGAUUUGAAAUACCAUACCAAUAAAUGUGGAAAAUAUUUA